AGAGUUUGAUCCUGGCUCAGGAUGAACGCUAGCGACAGGCUUAACACAUGCAAGUCGAGGGGCAGCAUGGUUUGUAGUAAUACAGAUUGAUGGCGACCGGCGCACGGGUGAGUAACGCGUAUGCAACUUACCUAUCAGAGGGGGAUAGCCCGGCGAAAGUCGGAUUAAUACCCCAUAAAACAGGGGUCCCGCAUGGGAAUAUUUGUUAAAGAUUCAUCGCUGAUAGAUAGGCAUGCGUUCCAUUAGGCAGUUGGCGGGGUAACGGCCCACCAAACCGACGAUGGAUAGGGGUUCUGAGAGGAAGGUCCCCCACAUUGGUACUGAGACACGGACCAAACUCCUACGGGAGGCAGCAGUGAGGAAUAUUGGUCAAUGGACGCAAGUCUGAACCAGCCAUGCCGCGUGCAGGAUGACGGCUCUAUGAGUUGUAAACUGCUUUUGUACGAGGGUAAACGCAGAUACGUGUAUCUGUCUGAAAGUAUCGUACGAAUAAGGAUCGGCUAACUCCGUGCCAGCAGCCGCGGUAAUACGGAGGAUCCAAGCGUUAUCCGGAUUUAUUGGGUUUAAAGGGUGCGUAGGCGGUUUGAUAAGUUAGAGGUGAAAUUUCGGGGCUCAACCCUGAACGUGCCUCUAAUACUGUUGAGCUAGAGAGUAGUUGCGGUAGGCGGAAUGUAUGGUGUAGCGGUGAAAUGCUUAGAGAUCAUACAGAACACCGAUUGCGAAGGCAGCUUACCAAACUAUAUCUGACGUUGAGGCACGAAAGCGUGGGGAGCAAACAGGAUUAGAUACCCUGGUAGUCCACGCAGUAAACGAUGAUAACUCGUUGUCGGCGAUACACAGUCGGUGACUAAGCGAAAGCGAUAAGUUAUCCACCUGGGGAGUACGUUCGCAAGAAUGAAACUCAAAGGAAUUGACGGGGGCCCGCACAAGCGGAGGAACAUGUGGUUUAAUUCGAUGAUACGCGAGGAACCUUACCCGGGCUUGAAAGUUAGCGACGAUUCUUGAAAGAGGAUUUCCCUUCGGGGCGCGAAACUAGGUGCUGCAUGGUUGUCGUCAGCUCGUGCCGUGAGGUGUCGGGUUAAGUCCCAUAACGAGCGCAACCCCUACCGUUAGUUGCCAUCAGGUCAAGCUGGGCACUCUGGCGGGACUGCCGGUGUAAGCCGAGAGGAAGGUGGGGAUGACGUCAAAUCAGCACGGCCCUUACGUCCGGGGCUACACA
rnacentral:rRNA from 1 species